AUUGAACGCUGGCGGCAUGCUUUACACAUGCAAGUCGAACGGCAGCACAGGGAGCUUGCUCCCGGGUGGCGAGUGGCGCACGGGUGAGUAAUACAUCGGAACGUGUCCUGUUGUGGGGGAGUAACUGCUCGAAAGGGUGGCUAAUACCGCAUGAGACCUGAGGGUGAAAGCGGGGGAUCGCAAGACCUCGCGCAAUUGGAGCGGCCGAUGCCCGAUUAGCUAGUUGGUGGGGUAAAGGCUCACCAAGGCGACGAUCGGUAGCUGGUCUGAGAGGACGACCAGCCACACUGGGACUGAGACACGGCCCCGACUCCUACGGGAGGCAGCAGUGGGGAAUUUUGGACAAUGGGGGCAACCCUGAUCCAGCCAUGCCGCGUGCAGGAUGAAGGCCUUCGGGUUGUAAACUGCUUUUGUCAGGGACGAAAAGGACCGUGUUAAUACCAUGGUCUGCUGACGGUACCUGAAGAAUAAGCACCGGCUAACUACGUG
rnacentral:rRNA from 1 species